rnacentral:rRNA from 1 species
CUUAGUGGCGGACGGGUGAGUAACGCGUGGGUAACCUGCCUCAUACAGGGGGAGUAACAGUUGGAAACGGCUGCUAAUACCGCAUAAGCGCACAGUACCGCAUGGUACCGUGUGAAAAACUACCGGUGGUAUGAGAUGGACCCGCGUCUGAUUAGCUAGUUGGUGGGGUAACGGCCUACCAAGGCGACGAUCAGUAGCCGACCUGAGAGGGUGACCGGCCACAUUGGGACUGAGACACGGCCCAGACUCCUACGGGAGGCAGCAUG